AUUCGAAACAAGGCAAUAGGGUAGACCAAAAUACCACAUCCUGAAAUUCAAAAUUCAAGUACGUUAUGGCACUGGAUAUGGAUGAAGAAUUAGGAAGCGGAAUUAAAUUAUAAUUUGGAAUAUUUGCAUACUUCAAAUACCUUUUACAUAGAGAACAAGAUCGUCAGCAAAAAAUAAAUGUUUAACAG